GAAACGGUUGCUUUUGGGCUGUCUAUGAGUCAUCAUGUAAUUCAUGGACUUGGAAUUCUUUCUUGAAGUUAUGACCUUUAGCUGAGAAUUUUCUAAAAAGCAACGUGCGGAGUGGAAGAAACACAUGUGUUCUCAUCUUUGGAAACAUCGACGUUCCUAGACCUAGGCAAAAUGAGAAGGAAUGGAUGAAAUUAAUGUAUUAUUCCAAAACAUGUAUACUUUUCAAGGGCUUGUUUUCUUUGCUCUUCAUAUGAGGAGUCAACGGACCAAUUGUUCCCAAUUUUUUUUUUUUUGCCUCUAAAAUAUGACGCCAUAUUCUUCCAUGAUUAGAUCGUCAAGUCUUGUUCUGCUCCAGGUCGGAGCUUCUUUUUUGGAUCAUGAUUCACUCCCCAACUAUUCUCAGAAAGAUAAAAGUUCAAGCAUCAUUCUUCCAUUUAUGG